AAUUACCCAAGGAUAAGUGCUUACUUUUCAUAAAAACCGAGUAAGUGAUUAUAAGGGAAUCUAAUUGGCUUAUGGUGUUGAAGACCUUGCUUUUAUAGUGUAGGGAUCCUAAAAUAAGUCAUGUGAUGCCCACCUGUGUAGUGCAGGUUUUUUAUCACAAGUAGGUAUCUCCCUGGGUUUUUA
rnacentral:other from 1 species